rnacentral:sRNA from 1 species
GGCUUCUGAGAGAGCCUGCGGAAAUGUCCGGGGGAGCUGUCCGGCGUUUCCAGGGCCUGUAGGGCGAAUACCGCCACAGGCGGUAUCCGCCGAUACCCCGGAUAAGCGGCGGAUAACCGCGAGCGGUUAUUCGCUCUACGGAGUUGGGACGCUGUCCGGCGUUUCCGG